rnacentral:lncRNA from 1 species
UGGAGCCUCUUGGAGCACAGUCAUGGGCAGAGCUCUCCCGGCUCCACCUCUGCCUCCCAUCAGGGGUGAAUAAGGCGGAAGCUGAGGGGACAGUCAUAGCCAGGACAGGAAUGUCACCCCCAGCUGGCAGACAGCACUCUGAGCAGCCAGGCCUGGGAUCCUCUGACCUGCCCACUACUUCAGGAGGCCAGUGUGCUCACUGCCACCCCACGGUCUGGGGACCCUGGACUCCAAACUUGUAAGUGCUAGAGUGGGCAGCUGGAGGCCACCUGGGCACUUUAAAACACAGGUACUCGGGAACAAACCUCUGCUGGGGUGGGUGCGGUGAGGGAUGGGGGACCUUGGGUCCCAGGCCCUCUGUGAUUUUCUGAUGAACUUCCUUCUGUGGGAGCGCUGGCUCAGGGAGCUCCUGACCUCUCCUCCUCUACCACUUCCUCCGCCGCCCGCCUCCACCUGCUCCCGGCCUGAUGUCCGCAGGGUCAUGUGUGCAGUAGUCCCACGUCCAGGCUCACUGCGGAGGCAGCCCUCUUCAGACAGGAGGCAGAAGAGAGGGCCCCCGCAAGUUAGCUUUUACUUUAAUAUUAUUAUGUCAUUAUGUAUAUUAUUAUUGUCAUCAACAUCUUUUUAUUCUGCAAAUACUAAUUUCAUAUCCAAUAUGGGCAGGCUCUGUGCAAGGUAAAUUACUAAGUUUUGUUAAGGAAGUCAAACAAAGUCAUGGGUUCUAUAAGAAGACAACUAUUUUAAAAUAUGGCACAAAUGACAUUAUAUAGUUAAGAUAGUAUAAAGACACGACUUGGAACAAGCAAACGUGGGAACAAGGCAAGGAGAACGUGUAGCUUCCUUUCGGAGUGCUCACACUAAUUGCUGAUGAAACAUUUCUGCACUCGGCAGGGAAUCAGUCCACAGCCCCCCUCUGAUUAAAAUGCGACCCAGCUUGGACUCUGAGAGCAAAUGUCCCAGUGCCCCUGGGAAGAAGUGCUGCAAUCCUCUGUUUGCGCUGUUUAUCAUUUCUGAGAAGCAAUGACAUAGCUGCCUCUUGCAGUUUGGUCUAAUUACUUGUCUGAUCUCCCCCAGGGAGAAGCAGCUCUGUUCUCCCUUGGCCUCCAGACAGUGGGGGCCACAGUCUCUCCUGGAGGAGUGGGGCUGGCCAUCGUGGGCAGGGGAGGUAGAGACCCCUUGAAGCUGAUCUGUAUUGUAGGGUGUGGAGUAGGGCUGGGGGUUCCUGGGCCUCUAAUCUUUAAAAUCCAGCAAUAAGGUAGUGUACUGUGAGCCAGGCCCAUCAUUCUCUUUCCUCCCUAAAACCAUCGAUGAGUCUUCCCCUAAGGGCUGGAGGGGAGGGUCCCCUUUCUUUGACUCCCCUUGCAGUUCCUCUGAUGCUGAAGAAUAGGGCUUGCAGGGACUCUGCCUCCUGCAGGGAGCAGCCACUGUUUCCAGGGACCCUCACAGAAGAGGAGCUAAUUUCACACUUUAGGACUCCAUAGAAGCCAGCUUCCUGGCAGUCUGAAGUGUGCUUCUCACACAUCUUCCACCAGCUUGUUCGUCUGCCUAUAUCUGAGGAUCCUUUAAAGCGAUUGAAACAAAAUUAAGGGCAGAAUGAAUCUUUGGUGAUGAAAGUGAGAAUCUGGGAGAGAUGUGAAAACUGGAAGAGAAACAGGAAGUACCUCCAGGAUUCGCCUAAAUAGAUGCUGCGGUUUCCAUCAAACCACAGGCCACCCCAGUAUCUCAGUGGCUUCUAUAGGUUGUCCUGAAAGAGCCAUGAGGCCAGACACCAAUUCCACCCUCCACCUUUCUGUGUCCGUCCCAGACCAAGGCAGCCCAGGACUGGUAUCCUUCUAAGAAGAGGAAGGCACAUCAGAGGAGAGGCCAUGUGAGGACACCAUGGGAAGGCAGCCACCUGCAAGCCAAGGAGAGGGGCCUCGGGAGAAACCAGCCCUGCUGACACCCUGAGCUCCUUGCAAUUCCAGCCUCCUAGACUGUGAGAAAAUACACUUGUGUUAUUUAAGCCCCCCAGUCUGUGGUUCUUUGCUGUGGCAGCCCUAAGAAUCUAAUACACAUGCCAACCUGUCUAGGCACAGAUGGGCCAUCUUCAGGGAAAGGGUGCAGGGGGAUCUGCAGGCCUGCCGGGGCUGAACCAGGAAGUGGUGCCCUCAGCAGUGGAGGCAGCUUCUCCCAACCCCAAGCCUCCAGCCCCUCCCCUCAUGACAUGCAUGAUCUGAGUUCAGUCUGUUUCCAAGCCCCUUCCUGUGCCUGUGGAGUCAAUGUCACCCCCAGUCUCAGGGUAUCCUUGCACUGAUACGCUCCACUACACCCUCACACCCACCCCGUGGCUUCCUGAACUGCACCCCCAAGUGCACCACUCUGCAUCUGGCUUCUCCAUCAACCACGUGCCCUGAAGUCCCUCUGAGCUGUCCAUGUGGGCAGCCUCCUUUUGAAGCCUGGAGUGGGUGUUAUAACAGCAGGAAGAAAAGUCCCCAAAGGAAAAGUGUGCUAUCAGCUGAAGCAUCUCCCAAGUCCAGCCCUGCACCCCCACGUGCAUCCCCACACGAACGUGUUGCCAGGAAUCAACCGAACCCCUGUUUCUCUCGCAGAAAAUUGGUGGGAGCAAUCCUCGCUUGCGUGUCGGGAUGCCUGUCCAGGUGAAGCCAGCAUGAGUCUCUCCAGAUUCUAAGGCAGUGAUGGGAAAGUGAAGGAAGCAGAAAUGGCCAAGGGCCAUCCUCUGUCAGUAAUUCACUCUGUCAGCCCUCCCUAAGCCGGGUGGUGGGUGUUAUGCAUCAGGACGCCGGGCUCUGGUGGGGUAAUGAGAGGGACUCAUAAGUGGCCAAGCUGUGACUCAAACCUGGCAGGACUCCCACUGGCUUCACUCUGCCCUCUUAAAUUCUACAAUUAGAGCUCCCCAGGAGAGAGCAACCCAUUGACUUAAAUGUUCACUCACCUGUAAACAGGUGACAUGAGAUUUUCUCCCAUUCGUGGGUUUCCUGAUGUCAGGCUGGAGCACAGAGCAGGGGCCGUCGGGCACCUAUAGGCUGAAGGGAACCCUGGGUAGAGGAUAGUGUACGUUUGUUUCAUGAUGUUGCCAGGAGCUGGCCCUUUGCUGUAAACCAGGUCCUGUUUUGAGCGUGCUGGGAAGUUCAGAAGCAGAGUUCCAUAGACACUUCUGAGAUGCACAGGCACCUCUCCUGCCUAAUGUGGCCAGGAAAAAUUGCCCUGAUAAAGCCAAUGACAUCAUAGAUUAGAACCUGAGGAACCCACAGCCUAGUAGUUCCCGAUCUUGCUGCCUAUUAACAUCACGGGGACGCCUUUCAGAGCUCCCCAGGUGAUGUUAAUGGCAGCAAAAUCAAGAACCACUGUGAAUAGGCAGCAAUCGAUGUCCAGGCCACUCCCCACCAACUAAAUCAGGGUCUCCAGGAUGGGCUCGUGCCUCCGCGGUUCCUGGUUCCCCAGGUGCAACUGCAACCUCCCUCAGUGAUCCAGCGCGGGCUUCUCACACUUUAAUGCACAUCUGAACGAAUCGGGGCUCUUGUGAAAAUUUGAAUUCUGGCUCAAGAGGCUGGGAUGAGCCUGAGAUUCUGCUAGGAGCUAGGAAAAGUGUGAUCCAGAGCUAGGAAAAGUGUGAUCUUGGAUGCUUGUCAUCUGGGAGCUUGUUAGAGGUGCAGGAUCUCAGGCCCCACCCAGAACCUAAGGAUCAGAAUCUACAUUUGAAUAAGGUGCAGGUUUGUUGAAUAUACGUCCCUAGUUUGAGACAACCUGCUACAACCUGAAGCCUCUAUUUGCUCAUGAGCAAGUGAGGGCCAGAGAGAUGGGGCCCUGGACCCCACAGCUACUCGAUGCAAAAAGCUUUAGUAACUGUGCUUGCUGUAACCCACCGUUGCUAGUCUCACUAAAGAUUGCAUUUGUUUCUCUGACAAUGAUGACUUCAGGCAAUGUAUAAAAUUUGCUCCUCCUGUUAACAUUUAAUUCAGGCAUGAAACCAAACAAACCCAAAAAUGGAGGAAGGAAAGAGAAGAAAUGGGGCUAAAAAAGAUCUAAAAAUGGGACAGAAGCAAGGUGCCUUUUUCAUCUUCUCUUUGAUUAAAAAAGGUCUGUUAGCUCGAAGCCCACAGGUAUGUGACUCAGUGCAGACGAGGGGAGACUCCGUGGCAAGUUUUGGAUCUUUCCUAUUAGAAGAAUCAGGAAUUUAGCCCAGCUCAGGGAAAACAUAUGAGCUUCCUUUGACUCUCCCAGGAUGAGCUAGUUUCAGUAUCAUGGUGAAAAAAUAAAAUAAUACAAAGGCGUUCACCAAAAGGAAGUGCUGUUUCCUCUAUUUCUGAACCCUCAGAGAGCUAAAAUGAUGCUGAUGAGUCAGAAGCUAGCGCCCCUGAGGGAGCCACCAAAGGCAGA